CGAAUGCUGACAUAAGUAACGAUAAAGCGGGUGAAAAGCCCGCUCGCCGGAAGACCAAGGGUUCCUGUCCAACGUUAAUCGGGGCAGGGUGAGUCGACCCCUAAGGCGAGGCCGAAAGGCGUAGUCGAUGGGAAACAGGUUAAUAUUCCUGUACUUGGUGUUACUGCGAAGGGGGGACGGAGAAGGCUAUGUUGGCCGGGCGACGGUUGUCCCGGUUUAAGCGUGUAGGCUGGUUUUCCAGGCAAAUCCGGAAAAUCAAGGCUGAGGCGUGAUGACGAGGCACUACGGUGCUGAAGCAACAAAUGCCCUGCUUCCAGGAAAAGCCUCUAAGCAUCAGGUAACAUCAAAUCGUACCCCAAACCGACACAGGUGGUCAGGUAGAGAAUACCAAGGCGCUUGAGAGAACUCGGGUGAAGGAACUAGGCAAAAUGGUGCCGUAACUUCGGGAGAAGGCACGCUGAUAUGUAGGUGAAGCGACUUGCUCGUGGAGCUGAAAUCAGUCGAAGAUACCAGCUGGCUGCAACUGUUUAUUAAAAACACAGCACUGUGCAAACACGAAAGUGGACGUAUACGGUGUGACGCCUGCCCGGUGCCGGAAGGUUAAUUGAUGGGGUCAGCGCAAGCGAAGCUCUUGAUCGAAGCCCCGGUAAACGGCGGCCGUAACUAUAACGGUCCUAAGGUAGCGAAAUUCCUUGUCGGGUAAGUUCCGACCUGCACGAAUGGCGUAAUGAUGGCCAGGCUGUCUCCACCCGAGACUCAGUGAAAUUGAACUCGCUGUGAAGAUGCAGUGUACCCGCGGCAAGACGGAAAGACCCCGUGAACCUUUACUAUAGCUUGACACUGAACAUUGAGCCUUGAUGUGUAGGAUAGGUGGGAGGCUUUGAAGUGUGGACGCCAGUCUGCAUGGAGCCGACCUUGAAAUACCACCCUUUAAUGUUUGAUGUUCUAACGUGGACCCGUGAUCCGGGUUGCGGACAGUGUCUGGUGGGUAGUUUGACUGGGGCGGUCUCCUCCUAAAGAGUAACGGAGGAGCACGAAGGUUGGCUAAUCCUGGUCGGACAUCAGGAGGUUAGUGCAAUGGCAUAAGCCAGCUUGACUGCGAGCGUGACGGCGCGAGCAGGUGCGAAAGCAGGUCAUAGUGAUCCGGUGGUUCUGAAUGGAAGGGCCAUCGCUCAACGGAUAAAAGGUACUCCGGGGAUAACAGGCUGAUACCGCCCAAGAGUUCAUAUCGACGGCGGUGUUUGGCACCUCGAUGUCGGCUCAUCACAUCCUGGGGCUGAAGUAGGUCCCAAGGGUAUGGCUGUUCGCCAUUUAAAGUGGUACGCGAGCUGGGUUUAGAACGUCGUGAGACAGUUCGGUCCCUAUCUGCCGUGGGCGCUGGAGAACUGAGGGGGGCUGCUCCUAGUACGAGAGGACCGGAGUGGACGCAUCACUGGUGUUCGGGUUGUCAUGCCAAUGGCACUGCCCGGUAGCUAAAUGCGGAAGAGA
rnacentral:rRNA from 1 species